ensembl:snoRNA small nucleolar RNA SNORA5
UGCAGCCUUGUCAAAUUCAGUGUUUCCUCCUCAGUGGACCACACUGGCCAAAACGGCUGCAACAGUGAAUUUGUAGCCCAUGGGCCUCACGUUCCUGUAUAGUGGAUAUGGAGGAUAGAAGGGCUACAUACAAAU